GAGGCUUUUAAAGGUCUUGAGAGCACAACACUUUUAAUGUUGGGGUCCUGGGUUCGAGCCCCAGGCGGAUCA
rnacentral:tRNA from 1 species